rnacentral:lncRNA from 1 species
UUUCAGAGCACAUUUGGUUAAGUUAUUGACAGAUGGGAAGCCUGUGUGGGCUGACACAAAUGGUUGUCACACGCCAUCUAGUGGCUCUAUGAGAAAGUGUGCUCAUUUCCAGGGAAAGAUUUUUGGAGCCAGCUUGUCUGCUUCGGAAUUUCAGCGCCUGCCAGGAAACCAAUGUACGUUUGUCCAUCUUUAAGGCUUUAAACUGAGAGGGACCACUGAGGACAGUAUGCCAAAUUAUCUUCCAAAAUCUCUGUCCUAAGGAACACCUAGGAAGUAACUAUUCGGGGGAACUGUUUUCUUUCUGGAUCCGGAGCAAAACUGGGAAGUCAUCGGAGAAAGCUUUGCCUGCAACAGUUGUGGUAUAAAACAAGCCUCUACGAGACACACUGUGGGUAUCCCGUGGUCCAUAGUACUAUACGGAAACCACUGAAGAGGGGAAGUGGACAGAGGAUUAAGAGUGUGUACUUUGCCACAAAACUCCCUGGCUUGGAAUCCUGGCUCUGGGACCUUGAGUGUCAGUUUGGGGGCUGUGGACAGAAGCACAUGGGGAUGGCCGUGCUCGGUUUAGCCACUCCGGCACUGACGUGAUGGAGUCUGUCCAACUGGAGGAAGGGAAGGAGGCUGGGCGAUGUUGCUAAAGAACCAUCACUUUUGCAAGAGAAUUUGAGAGUAAAACAAGCUAAGACAUCAGUUUGGCCCUCACUCUCACUGGGCCCAGCUUGGAGCAAGGACAUCUUUAGGUGACAUAACAGAGUCCUAAGGGUUUUUCGUAUGUUAGGAAUAAAUGCUUUUGGUUACUGAUUAAAAUCUGCCUC